UGGGGAAUAUUGCACAAUGGGCGCAAGCCUGAUGCAGCCAUGCCGCGUGUAUGAAGAAGGCCUUCGGGUUGUAAAGUACUUUCAGCGGGGAGGAAGGGAGUAAAGUUAAUACCUUUGCUCAUUGACGUUACCCGCAGAAGAAGCACCGGCUAACUCCGUGCCAGCAGCCGCGGUAAUACGGAGGGUGCAAGCGUUAAUCGGAAUUACUGGGCGUAAAGCGCACGCAGGCGGUUUGUUAAGUCAGAUGUGAAAUCCUCGGGCUCAACCUGGGAACUGCAUUCGAAACUGGCAGGCUAGAGUCUUGUAGAGGGGGGUAGAAUUCCAGGUGUAGCGGUGAAAUGCGUAGCAAUCUGGAGGAAUACCGGUGGCGAAGGCGGCCCCCUGGACGAAGACUGACGCUCAGGUGCGAAAGCGUGGGGAGCAAACAGG
rnacentral:rRNA from 1 species